GCGAGAUUAGUUCAGUGGUAGAACACUUGCUUCCCAAGCAAGGGACGCCAGUUCGAUUCUGGUAUCUCGCACAA
rnacentral:tRNA from 1 species